rnacentral:rRNA from 1 species
GAUGAACGCUGGCGGCGUGCCUAAUACAUGCAAGUCGAGCGAACGGACGAGAAGCUUGCUUCUCUGAUGUUAGCGGCGGACGGGUGAGUAACACGUGGAUAACCUACCUAUAAGACUGGGAUAACUUCGGGAAACCGGAGCUAAUACCGUAUAAUAUUUUGAACCGCAUGGUUCAAAAGUGAAAGACGGUCUUGCUGUCACUUAUAGAUGGAUCCGCGCUGCAUUAGCUAGUUGGUAAGGUAACGGCUUACCAAGGCAACGAUGCAUAGCCGACCUGAGAGGGUGAUCGGCGACCCUGGAACUGAGACACGGUCCAGACUCCUACGGGAGGCAGCAGUAGGGAAUCUUCCGCAAUGGGCGAAAGCCUGACGGAGCAACGCCGCGUGAGUGAUGAAGGUCUUCGGAUCGUAAAACUCUGUUAUUAGGGAAGAACAUAUGUGUAAGUAACUGUGCACAUCUUGACGGUACCUAAUCAGAAAGCCACGGCUAACUACGUG